UUUUGAUAUAUUUAUAAAGUCUGGCCUGCCCACUGAAUUUUAAAGGGCCGCGGUAUUUUGACCGUGCAAAGGUAGCAUAAUCAUUAGUCUUUUAAUUGGAGGCUUGUAUGAAUGGUCGCACAAGAAAUAAACUGUCUUUAAUUAAAUUUAUUGAAUUUAACUUUUAAGUAAAAAGGCUUAAAUAAAUUAAAGUGACGAUAAGACCCUAUAAAACUUUAUAAAUAAAAUAAAAAAAAGAUAUUAGUUGAUUGAAACUUUUUUUUAUGGAAUUUAUUUUAUUGGGGCGAUAAAAAUAUAAUAAGUAACUGUUUUUAAUAUUAUAAUGAUUAAUAGUCAAAAUAUAAAUAAAUGAUCCUUUAAUAAAGAUUGCAAGAUUAAGUUACUUUAGGGAUAACAGCGUAAUUUUCUUUGAGAGUUCAUAUCUACAAGAAAGAUUACGACCUCGAUGUUGAAUUAAAAGAUCUUUAAGGUGUAGCAGCUUUAGUAGAAGGUCUGUUCGACCUUUAAAAUUUUACGUGAUCU
rnacentral:rRNA from 1 species